CCCUUAGACGUUCUGGGCCGCACGCGCGCUACACUGACGGAGCCAGCGAGUAUAAACCUUGGCCGAGAGGUCUGGGAAAUCUUGUGAAACUCCGUCGUGCUGGGGAUUGAGCAUUGUAAUUAUUGCUCUUCAACGAGGAAUUCCUAGUAAGCGCAAGUCAUCAGCUUGCGUUGAUUACGUCCCUGCCCUUUGUACACACCGCCCGUCGCUACUACCGAUUGAAUGGCUUAGUGAGGCUUCCGGAUUGGUUUAGAGAAGGGGGCAACUCCAUCUUGGAACCGAGAAGCUAGUCAAACUUGGUCAUUUAGAGGAAGUAAAAGUCGUAACA
rnacentral:rRNA from 1 species